ACCUGAAACACAACCAGCCACACGUGCACUAAUCUUUCGCCGUCCCUCUCUCUCCCAUCCAUCCGUAUCUCUUCUCUCGCCCGCCCCCCCUCCACUUCCUAUCGGUCCGCGAUAACAGGCCGCAGAGACACGAUCGUCACGGCUGCGUUUACGCGUUUCCGACAGUUUUACCGUUUUUCGAUUCGCGAAAUUCAUUUUCUUCCCGUUUCGUUCUUUCUUCUGGGAUUCUUUGUACAUGUAUAUAUAUAUAUAUAUGAUAUGAUUUCGAGAAAAUUAAGGUUUAGAGUUUUUUAACAUGUUCGUUACAAUUAUCGAUAACUUUCUCGUUAACUACUUAUGUUGCGUUAUAUGUUAAUUACAUUCGUGGGAGAAUUUUGUUCGCGUUAGAUGAAACGAGCAUCGAGAAAAGUGUAUAAUUAAAAAUGAACGAGGCGAUCUUCGUGUUUUAAGGGAAUAAAAAAUUUUCCUCUUUUUCUUUUGUAAAAUAAACGUGUUUUAUAUAUUACGAUUAUAGUAAUUGUAAUUAAUUGUAAUCACAGGGGUAUAAUUUCAUCAAAUUCGAACUAUCGAAGACAUUUUUAUCCAAUCGAUUCUUUAAAGUUGUCCUACAAAUCUAUCGACAUUCUCCGUACGGAAGGAAGAAAGUGUUCAUUUUUAAAUUUCGAAGAGAUUCGUCAUACAACAAGGUGAAUGGUAAAAGUUAAAUUUUAGAUUAAUAAAAAAUGUUUUGUUUUACUCUCUCCAUUCCGUUUCCAGGAAAAACGUUUUAUAAUGGAUAUAAAUCUUAUCUAAUUGUGAAUCCAUUACAUCUUUCGAAAUAUAAGGUGUUCCGUUCCGGUUUAUCUUGCAAAAUCUUAUCAGCACGUUCUAUGAAUAAAAAUAAAAAAAAUAUUCUUAGGAUACAUCGACGAAGAAAAGAACUGGUAUUCACCUCGUAUGUAAAAGCGGAUCUAGUUUUCAGAGAAA